GAUGAACGCUAGCGGCAGGCUUAAUACAUGCAAGUCGAGGGUCAGCACAGGUAGCAAUACUGGGUGGUAACCGGCAAACGGGUGCGGCACACGUACACAACCUUCCUUUAAGUGGGGGAUAGCCCAGAGAAAUUUGGCUUAAUACCCCGUAAUAUAGUUGAAUGGCAUCACUUGAUUAUUAUAGCUACGGCGCCUAAUGAUUGGUGUGCGGCUGAUUCGAUAGUUGGCGGGGUAACGGCUCACCAAGCCUACGAACAGUAGCUGAUGUGAGAGCAUGAUCAGCCACACGGGCACUGAGACACGGGCCCGACUCCGACGAGAGGCAGCAGUAAGGAAUAUUGGUCAAUGAACGCAAGUCUGAACCAGCCAUGCCGCGGGAAGGAUUAAGGUCCUCUGGAUUGUAAACCUCUUCUGUUUGGGACGAAAAAGGGCCUUUCUAGGUCAACUGACGGUACCAGAUGAAUAAGCACCGGCUAACUCCGUGCCAGCCGCCGCCGUAAUAC
rnacentral:rRNA from 1 species